UGGUUCUCAGAGGCCGGGAGACCUUCCACCUUCAGAAGAAACCCCAAUGGUCCUCAUGGCAUCCGAAGACAAUGGCCAAGCCAGCGAUCCAGGCGACUUCUCAUCCCGCUGUGAAGGAGACCGAGUCCUGCCUUCACCUUCUGCUACUUCCACUGGAUGAACAAUGAAUACAUCGUGGAAGAACAAAACAAAACAAAGCCAUGGUAGAUAUGGAGACAAGACAGCCGUCUGUCGGAAUCACAGAAUGGAAAGCUGUCUAGUCUUGAUGCAACAAGUGGGGUGGUGAUUCCCAUUGGGAAGCUUUUGAAAAGCGACCCUGGAAAUUAAUCUCAGGAUCUUACUGUUUUCUCUUUUCUGGUUGGACUUUUUGUUUCACUGCCUGGGUCCAGAGCAGCUCCAAUGUAAUGUUACAACUAUUCCUACCUCUCCAGAAGCACCUUCUUUUAAGUCCUUGUGUGCCUCCAAAAUGGCAGAACGAGAAGGCCAAAAAGAAAGCAACCGAGAAAGAGGGGAAAAGAGAGAAGACAUGAACCUGGGAGAAAAAACCUCUUAAGAGCAGCUUGGAUCAACUGUGAAGAGAUCUACACCAGAGAAGAAUUGACUGGUCCAGAGCCUUCUCUUGGAUCCAUUUGGAACUUGGGAGAGAAAAGAAAGAAGCAACCAUCUUAACUGCCAUUUCCCUGGUGUCGGGGGGAGAGAAGAAGGGCAGACACAGCUCCAUCAUGCUUGGACCUGGAAGAUGAAAGGCCAUCCAUCCCAUCUGCCACUGCCCUGUCCUUGGAUGGAGAAAAGGGUCAGGCAUGGCACCAUCGUGCCAAGGUCCAGAAGCAGAAGAAAAGCCCUCUCUCAUUCCCAACUGCCACUGACUUUAGAGGGAGGGAAGAAGCACAGAUCCAUCAUGCCUAGUAGAGGAAAGGCCAUCCAUCCCAACUGCCACUGCCCUGUCCUUGGAUGGAGAGAAGAGGCAGGCAUGGCACCAUCAUGCCAAGGUUCAGAAGCAGAAGAAAAGCCCUCUCUCGUUCCCAACUGCCACUGGCUGCAUAGGGAGAGAAGAAGCACAGAUCCAUCAUGCCU
rnacentral:lncRNA from 1 species